UACGUAGGGGGCGAGCGUUGUCCGGAGUUACUGGGCGUAAAGCGCACGCAGGCGGUCUGCUAAGUUUGGAGUGACAGUUGGUGGCUUAACUGCCAAAGUGCUUCGAAAACUGACAGACUUGAGGGCUUCAGAGGGACACGGAAUCCGGGUGGAGUGGAUGAAAUGGCGUAGAGAUCCGGAAGAACACCGGGUGGCGAAGGCGGUCUGCGUGGGCGAGUGAGCUGACACUGAGGCGCGGACAGCGUGGGGAGCAAACAGG
rnacentral:rRNA from 1 species